AGUCGCCGCGGGAAUACAGAGGGUGCAAGCGUUAAUCGGAAUUACUGGGCGUAAAGCGCGCGUAGGUGGUUCGCCAAGUUGGAUGUGAAAUCCCCGGGCUCAACCUGGGAACUGCAUCCAAAACUGGCGAGCUAGAGUAUGGUAGAGGGUGGUGGAAUUUCCUGUGUAGCGGUGAAAUGCGUAGAUAUAGGAAGGAACAUCAGUGGCGAAGGCGACCACCUGGACUGAUACUGACACUGAGGUGCGAAAGCGUGAGGAGCAAACAGGAUUAGAUACCCGUGUAGUCCCUGUCUCUUAUACC
rnacentral:rRNA from 1 species